GGGAUGAAGACCACGUAGGGGAUGGAAUUGCCAGAGAAGAUAUCGCAAUGGUUACAGGGAACGUCCAAGUUUGUCUGUACAGUGUCUUCGAGUCUGGGGAUGCAGUGCGAUAAAACUGGGGCACUCUUGAAGAAAGGAAUAGCGAAAACUAGAAGGCAGAUGAAGAACGGAAAAAGAACAAGAAAACACGCAAUAUUUAAAAAUCGCUGUAUUGAGAUACACUACUCUUCAUGAAGUGAGAUUAUUUCACGAUUGCAGCUUGGACAUUGCGAAGCAAGGACACGCUGUGAAGUCAUCAUUACAUCCAUACGUCUGUGGCACCGGACAAUAAAUAAAUAAAUAAA